CGCACCUGUGGUAAGACCAAAAGUUACUGCGGCUCCGAGCACCCGUGAGUGAGUUACCGCAGGUCUGGUAAGGUCAGUGUGGGUGUGAAGCAUGACAACAAGCAAGUUUUCCCGCACGAAUCCCAGCUCGGCCAUGCUGGCGCUGGUGCUGGUGGGGCUCGGUCUGCUCCUCUUCUACUACACCAGCGCCUAUCACGGGCCCUCCUUCAGCGUGGGAUAUGACCCGUGGUGGCGGGAGCUGGUGUGCAGGAGAGUCGGACGCUGGGAGGAGAAGCCGGGAACGCCUCUGAAGAAGCUGUUCAGGGAUAUGACGCCAGAGAAGGACAAUAACAUUUUCCUGAUGGACACAGCCUGCAACUCCAUGCCCAAGUACCGCGUGUGGUGCUCUGUUGAAAGGCGAGUGAGUCAGCAGAAAACAUAUAGGCCCGUAUUUCCAGAUGCUUUCGGUUCUCACAACUAUUUCCAAAGGCCACAAAGGAGACUAGCCGGGUUCUCAUGCAUGAGUGUUUUUUUUUCACAUUCUUGGUGCUGAAGCCAUGUCAGACUAUCAUUAGGAUCAUAAAACUGCCCAUGGAAAUAGUAACACAACCUCUACCAAAACCUUAUCGAAUGUGGGUGUGGA